AUUGAACGCUGGCGGAAUGCUUUACACAUGCAAGUCGAGCGGCAGCGCGGGGCAACCUGGCGGCGAGCGGCGAACGGGUGAGUAAUACAUCGGAACGUGCCCAGACGUGGGGGAUAACUACUCGAAAGAGUGGCUAAUACCGCAUACGAUCUAAGGAUGAAAGCGGGGGAUCGCAAGACCUCGCGCGUUUGGAGCGGCCGAUGGCAGAUUAGGUAGUUGGUGGGGUAAAGGCUUACCAAGCCCGCGAUCUGUAGCUGGUCUGAGAGGAUGAUCAGCCACACUGGGACUGAGACACGGCCCAGACUCCUACGGGAGGCAGCAGUGGGGAAUUUUGGACAAUGGGCGAAAGCCUGAUCCAGCCAUUCCGCGUGCAGGAUGAAGGCCCUCGGGUUGUAAACUGCUUUUGUACAGAACGAAAAAGACUCUUUCUAAUACAGAGAGUCCAUGACGGUACUGUAAGAAUAAGACACCGGCUAACUACGUGCCAGCAGCCG
rnacentral:rRNA from 1 species